rnacentral:rRNA from 1 species
GAUGAACGCUGGCGGCGUGCCUAAUACAUGCAAGUCGAGCGAACAGAUGAGGAGCUGGCUCCUCUGACGUUAGCGGCGGACGGGUGAGUAACACGUGGAUAACCUACCUAUCAGACGGGGAUAACUUCGGGAAACCGGAGCUAAUACCGGAUAAUAUAUUGAACCGCAGGGUUGAAUAGUGAAAGACGGUUUUGCUGUCACUUAUAGAUGGAUCCUCGCCGCAUUAGCUAGGUGGUAAGGUAACGGCUUACCAAGGCACCGAUGCGUAGCCGACCUGAGGGGUUGGUCGGCCACCGGUGACACUGGGACUGGUACAGACUCCUGACGCAGGCGGGAGUAGGCAGUCUUCCGUAUUGGGCGAUGGCCUGAAGUAUCAACGCGGCGUGAGUCAUGAAGGUCGUCGGCUUGUAAAUCUCUGUUAUCAGGUACUCACAAAUGUGUAACUAACUAUGCUCGGUUUGACGGUACCUAAUAAGAAGGCCCCGGUUACUUCCGU